rnacentral:misc_RNA from 1 species
UACGGAGAGUGCUAGCGUUGUUCGGAAUCACUGGGCGUAAAGGGCGUCUAGGCGGCCUGGCAAGUCAGAUGUGAAAGUCCUGGGCUCAACCCAGGAAGGGCAUCUGAAACUGUCAGGCUCGAGUACCGGAGGGGGUGGUGGAAUUCCCGGUGUAGAGGUGAAAUUCGUAGAUAUCGGGAGGAACACCAGCGGCGAAGGCGACCACCUGGCCGGAUACUGACGCUGAAGCGCGAAAGCGUGGGGAGCAAACAGG